AUUAAGAGCUAAUAGUAAUAAUAGAAAAGUAAUAUUUCCCAAUAAAGCAUUAAUAUCCAUUGGAUGCUAUAGGGGUCCUUGAGGAAGAGAUCUCUCUAAAUCACCUAGCUAAUUGUUAAAAAUGCAGAUUCUGAGAUGCAUUUCCAGAAAUUGGGUGGAUCUCAUUAUGGGCCCAGGAUCUUGUGAAUUAAGUAAUCAUCCUAGGUGAUUGUAGAGCAAAUAGUUCUUGAUCCACACUCUGAGAAACAUUGUGAAAUGUUAAUUUCUGCUUAGAGCAGAAAUUAGCCCUAUGGAAACAAAUUAAAAUAUAUGAGUACCUCAGUCUAGAAAAUUGCUAUAUUUCUGAAAUUAUAGUGUUACAAAUAUACAGUAAAAGUUUUUAAAAAAAAUCUUCUAUUGGUGCUCAAUCUUUGUUUCAGAUCAAUUUUCAAUUUCUGGUGAUUCAUAACAUGUCAACAUUUUGCUCUUUCAUUCCCAUUCAGGCCCAGGUCAUUAGUAUAAACAACAACAACCACAAAAUACAUAAAUGCAUAAGAGAGCCUCUGUUUAAGAAAUCUUUAAGUUAAAUCUGUAUGGAAAAAUUUUAAAUGUUUGUGGAUCCUCACCCCAUGAGAUAUUUGCUUUUUAUUUUUUUUUGUGUGUGUGUUUUGAUACUUUGGGUUUUCUAAAAUUGUGUCACAACUUAUUUGCUUUUCUGUGUUCACAGCCUUCACCAAUCAGGCUGUGACAUAACAACCUCCCAUGAGCUCGCUUUACCCACCGGUUUUCAAAGGAGAAUAGCAACAGAACUGAAAAUCUCUUAAGCUAUCAGUUUGCUCCCUGUUUGGGUUCACCAAUCAACCACUGCUGUUUCUCUGAUGGCAGUGUCUGCACAGAGACUGCCACUUUCUGAUGUUGGAACUACUCAGAGAAACUAUCCAAGGAUUUUCAUCAUACCCUGGAAAAACAUGGACUAUAAAGAAAAAGAUAUAUUGCCACCUAGUGGAAAAUAGGCAGAAUCAUUUGGUUGUCAUUCAGUUUUUAAAUCACAAAAUGGUUAGUACAAGAAAUGCUUAAAAAUGUUCUUCAGUCAU
rnacentral:lncRNA from 12 species